UUUCUUUUUUUAAAUUACUCUUUUGCUCCUGAACUCAACCAAAAAUAAGAAAAGAACCACAAAAUACAUCAAGUAAUAAUUGAUUCUUCACAUUCAUGGCUACCAUUACUUAGAAACAAAACUUGAACCAUACCAUUUCAGAAUCAAAAUCCUAACCUUAACUCAAUUUUCCCCUUUAACGACAUUGACGCACGUUCUGCAUUCCUCUCUGCUCGUCGUCGUCGUGUUCAUCACUGCUUAAGCUCGCGCCAUGUUCUACUCUGUUUGCGCCGUAUUCUUUUGCUCGCAUCGCGUUCUUCUAUAGUCUGAUCUAAUGUGUUCUUCUACCUGCGCCGUUUUGAAACUUUUGCUCUUCUCAGCAAUUUUGAAAUCUCUUCUCCACUCCACCGUUCUGAAACCUCUGAUUUGCUCCGCCGUGGUGCCGUGCUCUGUCCAUCGCAGGCAAGUCGACAACUCUUCGUCGUUCACCUCUUCCUCUCAAGCUUCUCGCCUCGGUCCUCGGGCAUCUCUUCCUUGAAGGCGCCGUCAUCCUUGAAGGCUUGCAUAGAUCUCUCAGGCAUGACAAAAAUUUCUUCCAGAUUUUUUACAUAAUUAAUUUGGUUGAAUUGUUGAAAUAACAAAACUAUUCAGAGACUUUUUUCUACUUCUUCUUCUUCAGUGUUCCAUGGUCCACACUUCAAUCCUGCAGAAUCAAGCCAUUUUCUCCACUUCUUAAUUUGAAGCCUUAAAAAAUGAAUAUCCAGUGAGGUAUUUUUUAUUCAUCAUUGAAUAUUAAUAUAAGUUAAUAAAUAACAAUUUUUAUGUGUGUGUUUUGCUGUCCAGGUUAGAGUCGGGAACAUUAUUGAAAAGCAAGGUUAGGUUUUUCCUUUUGAGUUCAUUCAUUAGUUAGUUUCUUAUUUAGAUGUUCAAUUGGUUUGCUCUGCGUUGCUCUAAUUCCAGGGCUUUGAGGUAUCUAUGCAUUGCUCAAAUAGCUUAAACUCGUUGCCAAUUAGUUAGUAUUCCUUCAUUUGAAAUUGAAUAUUGUUUAUCCAAAGUCACUCGCCUCUUUUGCCUUUGUUGUUAACCUCUUUUGACUAUUGUAACCAUUUUAUGUAUAUUUGUUAGUUCUACUGCUAUAAUCAGAGAGUAUAGGUUUUGUAAGUGCUUGUUUGGAUUUGUUUGCAUGCCUCUGAUUGUUAUUUAAUGUAUGAGUUAUAUAGAAAAAAAUUUGGCUGAAAAUUAGAUUGCAGAGUUAAACCAUUAUUGUUAUGCUCUACAUGUUUCUUCUUUUUUUUCUUUUUUCCUUUUUUUAGACAAGGACUUAAUUUGAAUAAAUUGUCAUUUUCAUUUAUUUGUAAAUUAAAGAAAAAGUAUGAUGUUAUUCACAUACUAGAUAUAGAUCAAUAUGUGGUACAAAUUGCACUACUGAAACAGCUAUACUAUAUCUUAGGAAGCUUCUAUUUUGUGAACACUUGUUGCUAAAGUAUUGAUAUUAUCCCUAUGAAGUGUGAACCAUACUUGGGCAUGAGCUCUUUCUUUAGAGGGAGCUGAGUCUUGUAGGAUGGACAAUGUAAACAAGCUUCCUUAAACUGUAGAUGAUAUUGGAUCAAGGGGAUUAGAAUGCUGGCGGCUACUGAGAUGCCAAAUCAUGGAAAACAAGCUUGUGUAAUUCCUGCUCAACUUGACUAAAAUUUACAGGUUUGCCAGAUUUUGCUGAAUUUACAGCUUUAUUGGAAGCGUUUUUGAUCCUGACACUAGAGGCCAUGUUCAUAAGGUGUAGGAAAUGGAUCCUAUAAAUUUUGAAACUGCUAUUUGUCAUAAUUGGUCAGAUGAGAAGUGCAUAACAGUGCUGAAAAACUGUUAUAAAGCACUCGAAGAGAAUGGAAAAGUGAUUAUCUUUGAGAUGAUCAUGCCUGAAGAACCAGAUUCAAGCAAUGCCUCUAAGCUUGUCUCUAUUGUUGACAAUUCUAUGUUCCUUCAUGCUGGAGGCAAGGAUAGAAUAGAGAAAGAAUUUGGGAAGCUAAGCAAAGACGGUUUGAAAUGUUCUUUCCUUCUUAAUAUUGCAAUCUUCAUCAGCUUAAUUAGAUUUUACUCUACUGUUUUGAUCUGUUGCUUGCUGCGUUGCUGGAUUGUGAUUCAACAAGUAAUUUAAGUAUAGCUUUCAACAAGUAAUUAGACUUUUUUAUAUGUAGUUGAAGCUUCUGGUAUAGAAUCAUAUCACAAACACUGAUUGUGAUAUAAACACAAGCAUGCACACUGCAUUAUGUGCUGAACUAGGAAGAUGAUUGUAGCAGGGAUUGGUUAUGAAUUUAUCAGACAAUUAGACAUGAUCACAUCACAUGAAUAUUAUUUCCAAGAAUCUAGCAUUUGAAUGCCAUAUAUCUGGUUCCCUUUAACCUUUCAGUUGAAUUAUAAGUUCACCUCCACAAGCUCCAUUUCAUAUUCACUGUAUAAUCCAAUAUACAAACACCAAAUGUGUAGUGUACUAAUAGGAGCUUCAGAAGAGACUCUAAUGCUUGUUGAACCUAUGGCUAGUGGUUGUGCCUGCUCAUACGAAUUUGGUCUUUAUGUGAUGUGCUACUGCUUGUUUUAAAUAAUAUUAUGUAGAUGAAUGUUAUUUAAAAGUAGUUUGCCUCCUUGGCUUGCACAGCACAACUGAUCCUACUACUGGAUUCAUAUCCAAAGAGUUGCCAAGUGAAUAGUGGCUAUUUUAUGUGCUGCUCCAAGGAAGCCUUUAGAUCCUAAAGUAUGAGCUGUGUGGAGUCUGGUGACAUUGAUCUAAGGCUAAGGCUAUUAAUCCUUAUUCUGCUUUUAGAUGGUGAGAUACUGAAGUUUGUCUUGCAAAGUCUAAGGCUAUUAAUCCUUAUUUUGCUUCUAGAUGGCACUCCACAGGCUGCUCUUGUCAAAGAUCCAGGUAUUUCUGUCAACCAUGUGAUUUGGAGUCCAGAUGGUGCUUUAUUCAGAGUUGCUUACUCAAGGCACAUUGUUUAGAUAUACUCUUAUCAUGGUGGCGAUGAAGUACGACAGCACCUGGAGAUUUAGCAUAUGGGACAAGUCAAGCAUGGAUAUAAAAUAUGCAAGUAAAUUGAUAUUUUUUUGAUAAAUAUUAAUUACUAUUUUGUUAUGACAAUUAUUGUUAGACAAAAAUUUUAUUAUUUUAUUGAGAAUUAUUGAUGAACAUGUAUUUGAAAUACUAAUUAAACCUUUUAAUAUCUAUUUUAAUUAGAAUUU